rnacentral:lncRNA from 1 species
GUGUAAGCUGGUCUUGUUGUCUCUGACUGUGGCUUGUCCCUAUUGCAAGCCUGUGUGUCUGUACUUCUGGGAGAUGAGUUCUUUCCAAGAAGAAUUUGUUUAUGGAGAGCUGUGGCACAGGUUAAGCUCUGGGCACAGACAGAAACUGGAAGGAUACUGUCCUAGGCUGCUCCUAACUUCUAGUGUCUUGAAGGUUCCAGGUGGGUCCCUCUGAAAAGAAGUGGUGGUCUUACCUAUAUUCACAGGCAUGUCUACAGUCCUCGUAGACCUGCUCUUUCCUGGUGGUAUUUGGUUAUGUAGCACUGUAGCAUGGGAUCAGU